GCCUUCGUGGUGUAAUGGUCAGAACACCCACACUUAUUCGAAAGGGCCGAGGUUCGAAUCCCAGCGAAGGCA
rnacentral:tRNA from 1 species